rnacentral:rRNA from 1 species
GGCGAUGAAGGACGUGCUAAUCUGCGAAAAGCGUCGGUAAGGUGAUAUGAACCGUUAUAACCGGCGAUGUCCGAAUGGGGAAACCCAGUGUGAUUCGUCACACUAUCGUUAACUGAAUACAUAGGUUAACGAGGCGAACCGGGGGAACUGAAACAUCUAAGUACCCCGAGGAAAAGAAAUCAACCGAGAUUCCCCCAGUAGCGGCGAGCGAACGGG